AGCAAUUACUAGGGUGAGUGUGUCAGCUACCUCUGGCUUUCCCGACUCUCCUUCUAGAAGUGUAUACAAGCUUUUCCUACAGCACACAUGCACAGUGGGGCACUUGAAAACAUCUCUUCCUGUUCUCUGGACCUCACAUCCCAGGGGAUGCCUUGCUUGCUCUCCCGUGGAACCUCUCUCAUCAGCUUUCCACCUGGGUUCCUAGACACCAGAGGUCAGAGUCUGGAGAACGUUCCCCUCCCUCCCAAUCUGGAGACAAGGUGUACAGCACCACAGCUAUUUAAGGCAGAGGUUGGAGCCAGAUAAAGAACGUGUUGGCUCCUAGAAUGGGUGGGAGGUGGAACUGAACAAACCCGUAGUUCAUUUUUUUCCCAUUAAGCCCCAAGCUCUAUGCCCUCCUCCCCUCAACCCCUGCUCUUUUAACUUCAGACCAAUACUAGGGCGAAAUGGUUUUUAUCUUUCCCUCUUCCACUAAAUCAGGUUUGAGAGGAGGGUAGGAAGGUGUCCAUUUUGGGGUGAGCUAAUGUAAUGUGUGCAAAACAAGAUAGUGUGAGCAAGCCUAGGGUACAGAGAGGGGCAACAAGGAGUCCCCGUAGACCCAAGGCCAUGUGUCACCUAAAGCACUGACCUCACCCUUCGAAGGACACUUGGUGUGCAGAUCCACGACCUACAGGAAGCUUUACUAUAUCUCUGUAAGUUGGGCAGAGACUGAGGCUCCAAGAAAGUAUGCAUUGCACAUUUCUGAGGUUACUGUAUUUGCUUUCAAGGCAGAAAUCUUGCUCCCAGAGCAGAGUCAGCACUCUAAACUUGGGAUGAUAAGGAAGCUCUCUGUGACCUCUCACAGGCAAAUCAGGGAGGAGCCUGGGCUCCCAGUUCUCUUCUGGGGCUCUGAGCAGAUUGCCAGAGCUCUAGUCCAGCCUCUGGCAUUUGUGUUUUUCGGAAUUAAAUUGCAGUAUUUUGGAAAAUA
rnacentral:lncRNA from 1 species